AGUCAGCACAUCCUGCUCAGGUCCCCAGAGCAGAGAGCAAUCCAUCUAAAUGUGUACGGGCUCUGCAGGGUUUUUCUUACUUUGCAGCUGCACCCAAAAUGCCUCAUAGAGGAACUCAAAGGCCUUUUAAGAGGCCUCAAGGGGCCUUUUAUGAUGUUUAUCAGGAUCGUGCAGCAAGAGUGGAACUGGCGGGCAUCUGAAACAGAGAGGAUCAAAUUCAGAUGGGCUAGAGGGUUACCACCCUCUGGACCACCAAUGAGGAUUAAGGACAAGCCCUAUAAAAGCAUGGACAUGGGGGGAGGAAUGUAUUCUGCAUUUUUUCCACUUGGGGAAAUUGUUGUUAUUAUAUUAUCUUGAUUUUAUGUUCUCACUUUUUUGGUCCAUGAGGAAGCCCCACCUGGGAACGAAACGUAAUUAUUUUAAACCAAUUUUAUUACUUCAAUUUGUUUACAACCAAUAAAUACUUACCUUUUUGGAAGAAAUUUGGAGUCCGGCUCUCCUUGGUGUGUAGAGACCGCUGCCAACAGGGGAAGAGACGUGGACUAGACCCCAGGAUUUAAAGUGAAUGCACCAAAGGCGACAUAACCAUCUACCUUCUAGUGAUUGCAUUUCUGGCUGGUCCAUACUUAUGUGCUGUACUGUAU